rnacentral:lncRNA from 1 species
GGCUGGCUCAUCCCUUGUAGGUCCUGCCGGGCUGGGGCCUGGGGUCUCCGAUGGGCUCUCGGCUGGCUCGUCCCCUGCAGGUCCUGCUGGGCGGGGGCCUGGGGUCUCCGAUGGGCUCUCGGCUGGCUCGUCCCCUGCAGGUCCUGCUGGGCUGGGGCCUGGGGUCUCCGAUGGGCUCCCAGGGGUACCUUCUUUGGGCCCCGUUCGACCUUCUGUGUCCUCCUCAACCCCGUUCUCACUGUGUCCAGCCUUGGGGUGCCCCGAUGGGGCAGGGGACCCGGCAAGGGCCAAGGUCUGGGCACCACCACUGGCCACCGCAGCACUGUCCCCAGCACCCUCAUCCACCUUCCUCCGCUUCCUCACCUUGUCGGCCACCCUGGCUCCCAGGGGUUGGCGGCAGGGCUGCACUGCCUCCCCAGGGUCCUGACCGCCCACUUCCUGGGUCCCCGUCCUGAGGCUGCCCUGGCUGAGGGCACACCCCUCCAAAUUCAGAGCGAUCUUCUCCACCUCUGAGGCACUCUGAGGGCCUGGCUCUGUGGGCGGCUGCUCCCGCCGGCUCAGCUCCAGCUUCCUCUUCUUGCUCUCUUUGGGGCUUAAGGGCUCCGGCCUAUCUUCCCCGUGGCCCCCUGCCUCAUCCCCCUGGCUCCUCUCCAGGGGUCCCGCAUCCUGGGGCUCCACGCUCCGUGGCUGGGGCCCCUCGUCCACCCUGCCCCCACCCUUGCUAUGCUCUGGCCCACAGGUCCGACCCUGGGUGCUGGCCUCGUGGUCGGGGUCCCCGGGGCUUCCUUCCUCCUCCACCUUCCUGGAGCCCUCGAGCGGAUGGGGCAGAGAGCUGGGCUUGAACCUCCGCAGCUUGUCUUGGGGCCCCCAGACGAACUUGCAGCGGGGCCGGAAGUGCUCCCAGGCGAAGUGCACCAGCUGGCGGCGCUGGUGUCGGCAGCGCACGGCGAACAUGAAGUAGUCCAGGGCACUCUGCCGCACCCCCGGCAGCUCCCGCCGCACCAGCGUCUCCUCCAGGAAGAAGCGGACCAGCGGCGCCUGGAAGUGCUCGAGGCCCAGCUCACCCAGCGACUUGAGGAUGCGUGUGAUGCGGAGGUUGUUGUGGCUGCGCC